AUGCCACACACACAUAUACACACACCCCACACACACAUAUACACACACCCCACAUCACACAUAUACACACACACACCACACACAUCCACCCCCCACACACAUAUACACACACCACACACCACACAUAUACACACACCCCACACACAUCCACCCCACACGCACAUAUACACACACCCACCACAUACCACACACAUACCACACACAUCCACCCCCACACACAUAUACACACACCCCACACACACAUAUACACACACCCUACAUACUACACACACCAUACACCACACAUAUACACACACACCACAUACCACACACACCACACACCACACAUAUACACACACACCACACACAUCCACACCACACACACAUAUACACACACCCACCACAUACCACACACAUACCACACACAUCCACCCCCACACACAUAUACACACACCCCACAUACCACACACACCACACACACCACACAUAUACACACACACAUACCCACACAUCCACCCCACACUCACAUAUACACACACACACCACAUACCACACACAUCCACGCCACACACACAUAUACACACACCACACACCACACAUAUACACACAUACCACACACACCACACACCACACAUAUACACACACCUACCACAUACCACACACAUAUACCCCCAUAUAUGUACACACAUCUCACACCACACACACCACAUAUCACACACACACCCCACACACACAUACCACACACAUCCACCCCACACACACAUAUACACACACCCACCACAUACCACACAUAUAUACACACACCACACAUAUACACACACACAACAAACACAUCCACGCCACACACACAUAUACACACACCCACCACAUACCACACACAUCCACCCCCACACACAUAUACACACACCACACACCACACAUAUACACACACACCACAUACCACAAACAUAUACACCCAUAUAUGUACACACACCUCACACCACACACACCACAUAUCACACACAUGCAUGCACCCCACACCACACAUACUCACAUGUAUAUACACCACAAACCACACACACCACACAUACACACACACCACAUAUCAUGCACACACCCCACACACAUAUACAUGCACCCCACACCACACACACUCACAUGUAUAUACACCACAAACCACACACAUCACACAUAUACGCAUAUACCAUACACACCAUACAUAUGCACACACACCCCACACCACACAAAUACACCCCCCACACACAUACAUAUACCCCACACCACACACACCACACAAGCCACACACAUGCCAUAAACACAGCCUGCACAACACACACUCCAGACACUCCUCACACACAUACACACACACACCAUAAAUAUACCACACACACACCCACAUGUCACACACAAACACAUAUACUGCACACAAACCACAUACCCCAUAUGCACACCCACACACCCCACCAUACACAAACAUACACAUGCCACACACACCAGACACACACAAACACCACACAUACAAACCACACACACACAUGCCAUACACACAACACACAGGCACAUAUAGACACACCACACACUCACACAUCACAUACCCAACACACACAAACACCAUGUAAACUACACUCACAUACCCCAAACAUAUUAUCUAUAAACACAGCACACACAUAUCACACAUGCAGACACCACACACACAUCAUAUACAGCACACAUGACACACAUGCACUCACCACACACACAUCACAUGUAGCACAUGCGACACACACACACCACACACCCAACACACAAAAACACCACAUACACUACAUGGACAUACCCCAAACAUACCACAUAUAA
rnacentral:lncRNA from 1 species